rnacentral:rRNA from 1 species
UACGGGGGGAGCAAGCGUUGUUCGGAUUUACUGGGCGUAAAGGGCGCGUAGGCGGCCAGCACAAGUCAGUUGUGAAAUCUCCGGGCUUAACUCGGAAAGGUCAACUGAUACUGUGCGGCUAGAGUGCAGAAGGGGCAACUGGAAUUCUCGGUGUAGCGGUGAAAUGCGUAGAUAUCGAGAGGAACACCUGCGGCGAAGGCGGCAUCCUGGACCAAUAUUGACGCUGAGGAGCGAAAGCUAGGGGAGCAAACGGG